GAUGAACGCUGGCGGCGUGCUUAACACAUGCAAGUCGAACGAAGCGCUCUACUUGAUCUCUUCGGAGUGAUUGUUUUGUGACUGAGUGGCGGACGGGUGAGUAACGCGUGGGUAACCUGCCUCAUACAGGGGGAUAACAGUUGGAAACGACUGCUAAUACCGCAUAAGCGCACAGGGUCGCAUGACCUGGUGUGAAAAACUCCGGUGGUAUGAGAUGGACCCGCGUCUGAUUAGCCAGUUGGUGGGGUAACGGCCUACCAAAGCGACGAUCAGUAGCCGACCUGAGAGGGUGACCGGCCACAUUGGGACUGAGACACGGCCCAAACUCCUACGGGAGGCAGCAGUGGGGAAUAUUGCACAAUGGGGGAAACCCUGAUGCAGCGACGCCGCGUGAGCGAAGAAGUAUUUCGGUAUGUAAAGCUCUAUCAGCAGGGAAGAAGAAAUGACGGUACCUGACUAAGAAGCACCGG
rnacentral:rRNA from 1 species